UGGCUCAGGCCAUAGAGCAUGUGACUCUCGAUCCUGGGGUUGUGAGUUCAAGCCCCACACUGGGUGUAGAAUUUAAAUAAAGAGAAAAUUAAAAAAAAAACAAAAAUGAUUAGCUUUGCUUAGCUCGGGGCAAAUACAAAAAGAAGCAUUGGGCUGGAUUUGGCACUCAGGCUGCAGUUUGCUACCACUGGUCUAGAGACCAAUAGACCAAACUGGAACCAAUCUACAACAAAAUGGAAAAAAAAAACCAAAAAACAAAGCACUAUGCAGUACUCAUGUGAAUCAAUGCAGGGUGGCUUAGAACUGUUAUUUAUUCUGUUAUUUAUUCUGACAUUAUAUGUUUCCUAUUUUGUGUGUGCUAAAAUGUACUUCCUUUUGUGAAAUGAUGGUGAUAAUAAAUAGCAAUUGGUGCUAGUAGUUUUUUUAAUGUCCUUACUUGGCAAAAUAGAACACUGGCAAUUCUACAUCAGUCCCCCAACAUUUUUUUUUUUCUGGAAAUUUUACAGCUCUGAAAUCCAAAGUCUAAGAUUUCACUACUCCAGACUAAGUAAACAUGCUUUUCUCCUCCAAAGCCAAAAGUCUGGACUUUUUGGAUUUGGAGGUCUGAUCUUGAUCUCAAGUCACAGGACGAGGUAAAUAAAUCACCAGAAAACUUAAUCCUGGGGAAAGAAGCUCUUCUAAGAAUUCUUGCUUCCAAACCAUUAGAUUUUUAAACUGUGGUAAUCCCUGAACUAAGACAUAUAAGGGCCCUGAUACCAAACAGUAAAGGCGCAGAGGGAGAAAGGUGGAGCUGCCCACUGUUGAGAGCACUUAGGAAAACCGUGGGACCCAUAAAUUAAGUCCCUAAACAAUCCUCUGCCUUUUUUAUCCAUAAUGGGCUAAUGAUCAUUUCCUUUUGCCCUCUGGCCAAGGGUAUGGAUGGAGUUAAAGCCAAUACUAUCACUACUCUAAGGAUUUAGGAUGGCGAAUUCCAUUUCUAUGACCUACAUUCUUGGAACUGAGUGUCUAUGGUGUGGAAAGAGCAGGUAGUAAGCCCUGUUACCUGUCUGGGUGUUGGUUUUCCCAGACCAGAAAAAAAAUUGAAGUAGAUCAUCACUAAGGCCCUUCCAGUUUAAAGACUGUAUGAAGCUCUGUUUUCCAGCUAACAGUAGGGCAGAACUAGGUAGUAAAAAGAGGCUUGUUUUGGCUUCUCCCCAAGGAAAGAGGCUUCAUCUGGGCGGCUUCCUGAGGCUCUUGGAAAGGUAAAUAAAGACUGGGGUUGCAUGGCUGGCAUUAGCCCAGCUCCACAUGGCUCCGAAAUGAGACCAUGGGGGAGAGGCCACCUUUCCCUUCUCCGAGAGGAUGGGGGAUGGGAAACCAGCAUGGAGCCACGGAGGUUUCCGGCUCCGAAGCCCGAUAUGGCUCAGAGCUCUUUCUGGCAGAAACUCUACCCUGCGUUCCAGGCCUCCGCGAGCAGGACGCGCGUGUGCCGCUCCCCUUCUCCCCUCUGCAGGGCCCUCUCUGAGGGCAGGACACACCCUCUCUGCUGCCUCUUUUUUUUCUUUUUAGUAAAAUCACAACUCAAAUUUGGGUAUUUUUCUCCUAUUGCCAGCCCCGCCAAAACUUUCAGCAGGCUCCGCCCACUCCACGUGGACCUCCCUUCCCUGUCCCAGCAACCCCUUCGAGAACCCCCCCCCAACACGUGACCAAUUGUUAUGUUUCCUUCCUGGGGCUCCCUUUUCUCUGGCACCAAUGACUGAACAAAAGUGCCCCCUUCAGGGUGAAUGUGGGGCAGCAACCUGGGGAGGAAGAGAAAAGUUGAUUGAGGUGUGCAAUUCAAGAAGGGAAUGUGACUGUAUCUACUUAAAAUGAUUUCAUGCCGUGUAGCUCACUGCUUAAUAACAUUAAGGAUCAUGCAAUUUAAAAGAUGAGGUGGGGUGCCUGGGUGGCUCACUUGGUAGGUCCUCCUGCUCUUGAUUUCAGCUCAGGUCAUGAUCUUUUGGUUCGUGGGUUUGAGUCGGAGGGUUGGGCUCCUUCUGACCGUGCAGAGCCUGCUUGAGAUUCUCUCUUCCCUGCUCACGUGCUCUUUCUCUCUCUAAAAAAAUGAACUUAAAAAAUAAAAGUAAAUAAAACAGGCAAUUCAGGAGAAGGGAUAUCAUCAAAGAAAACGACUUUGGAGGUGGAGUUGGGUAAAGUUUUAGUCCCUCACUGCACAGUUGGUUACCUCUAAUCCAACUGCUAUUUCCCUUAAAGUUCUUCGUUGUUCUUGGCAGAGCUGAGAUCCGCAGAUACCAGAAAAGAACCAAGAGUUCUUUAAUUACCGGCUGGAUAAUGGGAACACGGCCUCUCCUAGAGUGAAUGUUUUGCUUCUUGCCUCCUCCACCACCUCCCCUUCCCCAACAACACUGGAAGCAGUUAUUCCUCUGUGCUAUUUCCAGAGUCCCGGGCCUAGCGGAGGAAAAGGGAGGGGCCCUGGUGGAAAGACGGAGGGAGACGCGUUGAGCUCCUCCCCCUGCCCAGCUGCAGUUCCAGAGUUUCGCCACUCUGGGUCUCCCGAGCUCAACCACAGCCCCAGAGUAAGGAAGGAAGAGAGAGAACCUCCAGAGGACAGCGUGAGACGUCAUUGACAACCCUGCUCAGAGAGGUGACCUGGAGGUCAUCUGCUCUGAAGCUGCAGACCCUUCGCAUGGCCGUUGGGAAGGCAUCCAGCCUCAACCCUUCUCUCUAAAAAGGACUUGUGGCGCUGGGAACUAGCUCUCCACCUCUUACCCUCACCCUCUUCUCUGUGGUCAUUUCCUCCCCCGCGUGUUUCCUUCCCUUCUCGCUGUCCUCUGGGUGGGAGCACCACCACUAUCUCCCCCCAACCCCCCAGCCUGUCAGAGUCCUGAGGAAUGCUCUCACCCUGGCUGGGUGCCAGGCUGUGGACUUCCUGGGCUUUGGGGGUGGGGCUUGGUGGAGGGGAAGCCCUUUGGAGAGAGAGAGCCAUCCAGUCCGGCACUGCCUGCCUGCUUGCUCUCCCUCCCCUUCAUGAGCUCGGGCUCGUUCGCUCACACGCCCUCUCUCCCUCCCUCCCCCCCCCCCCCCCCAAGUAAAAGGCUCAUCUAUCAUUCUCUGUCACCACCACCUAAUUUCUCCCCCUACAAUAGCAUUUCCUUGCCAGGGCAAAACAUCCACAAUCUGGAGGCGAUGGGCAUGCUAAAUACUGUGGUUUAUAGUGAGAGAGAGGGAAAACACCUAUUUCAGAACCUGCCUUCCUGUGCCAGGAGCCUGUAGCUGGAAGGAGAGGUUCAACUGCCAGGGUCCUGAGGCUCAAGGACAGACAACAGGUCGUUGCCAGACCUGGACCUGGAAGAGAAAACCAGCAGUAGGCUCCAGCAGCAACAUAGCAAAGGUUGGACAAGAUGGCCUUGGCAUAGCAUGUGCUGGCUGCCACCACCCCAACCCGGGAGGAAGACCCCCAUGCCAGAAAGAGGAUGAUCUGAGACCUAGUCUUCCACUGCCAAGGACAGCCCAUGCACCUCCUGGAUCCUGUGAUGCGAGUGGGAUCCUGGGCUCUGGAAGGAGAAUCCUCCUUCCGGUUCCCCAAAGCAUCUACUGCAGAAGCAUUGGCCUAGGAUGGUGGAUAACUCUCGAAGGACUGUACUUAGAAGUGCACAUUGCUCAAGCAGGUAAAUGGAGAAGUGGGAUGUUAUUCCUAAGUAGUUUGUACACAAUUUCUUUAGAGGCCUUCCCCACUCUCAUUGAACUAAUCCAUUCUUUUUCAUUUUUUUAAUUAAAAUUUUUUAUUUUAUUUAUUAUUUUUUA